GUGAGCAAAAGGCAAAUUGAAUUAUCAUAAACAUGUGCUCAACUAGGCAAAGGAAAAAGAAAAUGAAUAGUAUGUACAAGAAUAGUAAAUUGCAUAAAUGUAAAGAGCAAGAAUUAAAUGUUAAUGGUUAGUGUUAGAGUUAGUGUGCCAUAAGGCAAUUUAGCACUAUGUUAAGCAAUCGUAAUUGGAUUUAUGUAGAAGUCACAAUUAUCUG
rnacentral:lncRNA from 1 species